GACGAACGCUGGCGGCGUGCUUAACACAUGCAAGUCGAACGGAAAGGCCCUGCUUUUGUGGGGUGCUCGAGUGGCGAACGGGUGAGUAACACGUGAGUAACCUGCCCUUGACUUUGGGAUAACUUCAGGAAACUGGGGCUAAUACCGGAUAGGAGCUCCUGCUGCAUGGUGGGGGUUGGAAAGUUUCGGCGGUUGGGGAUGGACUGGCGGCUUAUCAGCUUGUUGGUGGGGUAGUGGCAUACAAGGGCUUUGACGGGUAGCCGGCCUGAGAGGGUGACCGGCCACAUUGGGACUGAGAGACGGCCCAGACUCCUACGGGAGGCAGCAGUGGAGAAUAUUGCACAAUGGGCGGAAGCCUGAUGCAGCAACGCCGCGUGCGGGAUGACGGCCUUCGGGUUGUAAACCGCUUUCGCCUGUGACGAAGCGUGAGUGACGGUAAUGGGUAAAGAAGCACCGGCUAACUACGUG
rnacentral:rRNA from 1 species